rnacentral:tRNA from 1 species
GGAUUGUAGCUCAGUGGUAGAGUGCUUGCCUUGCAUGUGUGAGGCACUGGGUUUGAUCCUCAGCACCA